rnacentral:rRNA from 1 species
CGUGGGUAACCUGCCCAAGAGAUCGGGAUAACACCUGGAAACAGAUGCUAAUACCGGAUAACAACAGAUGAUGCCUAUCAACUGUUUAAAAGAUGGUUCUGUUAUCACUCUUGGAUGGACCUGCGGUGCAUUAGCUAGUUGGUAGGGUAACGGCCUACCAAGGCGAUGAUGCAUAGCCGAGUUGAGAGACUGAUCGGCCACAUUGGGACUGAGACACGGCCAAACUCCUACGGGAGGCAGCAGCC